UAGUGUUUGCAGGAAGAAGAUGCGUAAGAACGCUUAAUUGGGAAUUCGGUGCAAAACCGAGGCUGUGUCCGCAACUGUAUGUGCUAGUUUCAGGAAUUUGCCACUAUCUAGUGUUGAUGGGAAGGCUCUUUGAAAUGCUAUGCAUAAGCCAGGAGACCUAUCUUUUUCUGAUCGUAACA
rnacentral:ncRNA from 2 species